CAUUUGCCCAAGGCAAACCUACUGUAAUGCCAUGUGAUGAGUGCAUGUCCUGUUUCCUAGAAGUAAUUCAGUCCCUGAUUGUACCUGACAGACAUGGAUCACAGUGAGUGAUCCCCUGGCGUGUGCUACAGGGAUUACACUGGCUACUACAAGGACACCUUUUUAUAGCCCAAACUGCAACCACACACCACAACAAGAGUGACGUCUGUGUUAUGUACAUUUCACAAUCAUGAGAAUAGACAGUUAUACUAGCAGCAAGCAGACAGACAAUUAGAAGACGAGAGAUACACACAUUCUGUACAUAGUAGCUACAGUGUUAACUACUGAGUACCACUCCAAAUGGCACUCCGCUGACAGUGACCCCGUAUUCAUGUUAAAAGUUCAAACUCUUUUAUUAACUCAAACAACUACAUUUAUUCAAACUUCUACAGUAUAGAACCUUGUAAGUUUGGACCUGGGGCUUUGGGGUACAUAUAUAUGGCCUGAGGUUUUCAUUAUUCUCAUUGCUAAUCUCUGCCGGAUAGUGCCGUCCUUCAGGUCCAUAAUCCCGUUAGGCGAGUCUCAUCCUAAUCCAGCCAGAACAUUGCUGUCCGUCUUGGGCUCUGUGUCCCUGUCAGGUAUGCUGCUGCACCACUGAACAUACAGGAUGUUUAACUGGGUGGUGAAAGUGGUUCCUCAGCCUCCUGACGCCCCUGGCUCUCUGGGACAGGAGACAGCCAAUCCCGCACCUGCAUCACCACAAAAAGUGUCUAAAGAUGAAGUCAAAAAAGAAGUCAAUGCAAAACCAGCCAAACAGCAGGAAGAGGAUAUUUCAGAGGACAAUGGUAUUCAGAGUCAGAGUGGAGUGAUGACCUGGCUCUCUAAUGGCUUCACCAGUGCUCUGCCUCAACCAACAGGCACCCCUAACCUCAGCAGAUCCAACUCUGUAUCCAGGUCACUGCAGGAGGUACAAAGAGAGGACGAAAGGAAUGGGGUGAUUAAGUGGAUUGCAGAGGGACUGAGCAAAGUGGUGCCUCAGCCGGAUGACAAGUACAGAGAGGAUAUUCGAGAGGAGGAGGAGGAGGAGACAGAGGUGAGUUGACACUAUCGUGUCACCAUGUCACGGUUUCUGUGGAAGUAGAUUGUAGAUGUAUUUUUUCAGGAGAGCACGUGGUGCUCCAGGUCCACUGG
rnacentral:lncRNA from 1 species